ACGACCUCAGAGCAGGCGAGACUACCCGCUGAAUUUAAGCAUAUUACUAAGCGGAGGAAAAGAAACUAACAAGGAUUCCCCCAGUAGCGGCGAGCGAACAGGGAAGAGUCCAGCACCGAACCCCGCAGGCUACCGCCUGUCGUGGCAUGUGGUGUUUGGGAGGGUCCACUACCCCGACGCCUCGCGCCGAGUCCAAGUCCAACUUGAAUGAGGCCACGGCCCGUAGAGGGUGCCAGGCCCGUAGCGGCCGGUGCGAGCGUCGGCGGGACCUCUCCUUCGAGUCGGGUUG
rnacentral:rRNA from 1 species